rnacentral:rRNA from 1 species
UACGGAGGGUGCAAGCGUUGUUCGGAAUCACUGGGCGUAAAGGGCGCGUAGGCGGCCUGAUAAGUAGGGGGUGAAAUCCUGCGGCUUAACCGCAGGGCUGCCUUCUAAACUGUCGGGCUUGAGCACAGUAGAGGCAGGUGGAAUUCCCGGUGUAGCGGUGGAAUGCGUAGAGAUCGGGAAGAACAUCAGUGGCGAAGGCGGCCUGCUGGGCUGUUGCUGACGCUGAGGCGCGACAGCGUGGGGAGCAAACAGG